UCGUUAGUUAAGCUAGCCGGGUAAAAUUAUAAACAUUAAACACUUUCCCAGCGUUUUAAUUCAAGGUAAUAAUAAUAAUAAAUUAAGUGCUCGUCGCGCCCACUGGGAUAAAGCACCGCUUCCCUGGAAGUUUCUGGAAUUCCAUAUGGAACCGCGUACAUUCAGACUCACAGGGCCUACUUGAGGAUGCUUUCUGGUAUGGAAUCGGCUGCGGAAUGCUAUACGGAAUGCUGUGAGGAGCCAGGGGUCCCCACCGGGUGACGCAUUAUCACACUCGGAUCGGCACAUGGAAUGUGUUGAUGGUGAAAUGAGCUGGUGUGGCUUUCUGCCUGUACAUGGCAUGUUUCCUACGUCCACAGUGACCUUUGGGCACGACAUUAGCUAAUAGGUAACAACACAAAUCCAAGUCAUAAUUAAGUUAAUUUGCUAUGUCGUUACUUGCAUGGUCUUGAAUAUGUUUGCAUGCACUUAAAGUCUGCUUUUAAUCAGAUUAUUAUAGUUCUCUGUUAUUCAGUUGGUCAGAGUUAGGUUUGAUAAUCUGAUUAAUAAAUUGUGUAGUUACAGCUAGAUAAAGC
rnacentral:lncRNA from 1 species